GCUUAAGUUCUUUGUACAUACUGGGUAUUAGACCUCUGUCAGAAGCAUAGAUUGCAAUAAUUUUCUCCCAUUCUGUAGGUUGUCUAUUUAUCCUGUUGAUAGUUUCUUUUGCUGUGCAGAAGCUCUUUAGUUUAAUAUAUCCCAUUUGUUGAUUUU